CUUAGCUAUGCUAUUCUCUUUUGGGGAUUCGCGGCUGGCACUGGGGACAUUUUUCUCCUGCAGAGGAAAGCUGUAAGGGCUGUUUUUGGCCUGGCACAGAGAACCUCAUGUCGCCCCUACUUCAGAGAGCACGGCAUUCUCACACUCUAUGCGCAGCUUGCUCUUGACUCUUGUUUGAACAUCCACAAGUUAUCUGAUAGACUGUUGAAACAUGAAAAUGUCCAUUGGUACAAUACAAGAGGCAAGAGCAAUAUUGUGAAAUCUAGUCCUAAACAUCUGGGACACUAAUUCCUGAACGAGGGUGUUGAUCUCUAUAACCUCCUGCCGGCAUCUCUCAAGGAAUUUGGUCAUGGGCACCUUCGGGAUCUCCUUAAAUCUAAACUGAUUGAGUCCGUCCCUUACAACUUGGAUGAGUGUGUCUCUGCUAUCCGUAGUCUACCCUAACCUUCUUUGGUUCUCUAAAUUCUCAACAUCUUUUUAACUAAAACCUGAGAGCGGGUGGACAUCUGUGCUCCCCCACCCUAACCUGUUCUAGCUGAU
rnacentral:lncRNA from 1 species